rnacentral:lncRNA from 1 species
UCUAAAACAUUAUCAUAUAUAAAAGGAUAUAAAAUUAUAUAAAAAGUAAAUAUAUGUUUUAAAUUUAAAAACUUAGACUGAUAUGUAUGCCACUAGAUCCAAAUCAUCAUACGCAAUAUAUGUAUCUUCCUUCAUUUUCACCAUAUUAUCUAUUCAAAUCAAUGGCACCUUUUCUCACUCUCAUUUUAUUACAAGAGUAAUGUUUA